rnacentral:rRNA from 1 species
UACGGAGGGAGCUAGCGUUGUUCGGAAUUACUGGGCGUAAAGCGCGCGUAGGCGGCUUUGUAAGUUAGAGGUGAAAGCCCGGAGCUCAACUCCGGAACUGCCUUUAAGACUGCAUCGCUUGAAUCCAGGAGAGGUGAGUGGAAUUCCGAGUGUAGAGGUGAAAUUCGUAGAUAUCGGGAAGAACACCCGUGGCGAAGGCGGCUCUCUGGGACGGUACUGACGCUGAGACGCGAAAGCGUGGGGAGCGAACAGG